rnacentral:rRNA from 1 species
UACGAAGGGGGCAAGCGUUACUCGGAAUUACUGGGCGUAAAGCGUGCGUAGGUGGUUUUUUAAGUCCGUUGUGAAAGCCCUGGGCUCAACCUGGGAAUGGCAGUGGAUACUGGAAAGCUAGAGUGCGGUAGAGGGUAGUGGAAUUCCCGGUGUAGCAGUGAAAUGCGUAGAGAUCGGGAGGAACACCAGUGGCGAAGGCGGCUACCUGGACCAGCACUGACACUGAGGCACGAAAGCGUGGGGAGCAAACAGG